CUACGGGACGCAGCAGUGGGGAAUUUUGCGCAAUGGGGGAAACCCUGACGCAGCAAUACCGCGUGAGUGAAGAAGGCCUUUGGGUCGUAAAGCUCUUUUCUUGGGGAAGAUAGUGACGGUACCCAAGGAAUAAGCACCGGCUAACUCCGUGCCAGCAACCGCGGUAAUACGGAGGGUGCAAGCGUUGUUCGGAUUUACUGGGCGUAAAGGGCACGUAGGCGGCACAGCAAGUUAAGGGUGAAAUCCCGGGGCUCAACUCCGGAACUGCUCUUAAAACUGCUGAGCUAGAGAUAGUCAGAGGCGGGUGGAAUUCCAGGUGUAGAGGUGAUAUUCGUAGAUAUCUGGAGGAACACCGGUGGCGAAGGCGGCCCGCUGGGGCUAUUCUGACGCUAAGGUGCGAAAGCGUGGGGAGCAAACGGGAUUAGAUACCCGUGUAGUC
rnacentral:rRNA from 1 species